CGGGAGGCAGCAGUGGGGAAUUUUCCGCAAUGGGCGAAAGCCUGACGGAGCAAUCUCGCGUGAGGGAUGACUGCCUAUGGGUUGUAAACCUCUUUUUUCAGGGAGGAAUCAAUGACGUGUACCUGAAGAAUAAGCAUCGGCUAACUCCGUGCCAGCAGCCGCGGUAAUACGGAGGAUGCAAGUGUUAUCCGGAAUCACUGGGCGUAAAGCGUCUGUAGGUGGUUUAAUAAGUCAACUGUUAAAUCUUGAAGCUCAACUUCAAAAUCGCAGUCGAAACUAUUAGACUAGAGUAUAGUAGGGGUAAAGGGAAUUUCCAGUGGAGCGGUGAAAUGCGUAGAGAUUGGAAAGAACACCGAUGGCGAAGGCACUUUACUGGGCUAUUACUGACACUCAGGGACGAAAGCUAGGGUAGCAAAUGGGAUUAGAUACCCCAGUAGUCCUAGCCGUAAACAAUGGAUACUAGAUGUUGAACAGAUCGACCUGUGCAGUAUCAAAGCUAACGCGUUAAGUAUCCCGCCUGGGAAGUAUGCUCGCAAGAGUGAAACUCAAAGGAAUUG
rnacentral:rRNA from 1 species